rnacentral:ncRNA from 1 species
AAUAAAUUUUUUAUGAUUUUUGAAAUUUAAUUUAAUUUAUUUUACAUAUAAAUUUUAGUGUUAAAUUUUAAUUAUUUUAAUAAUAAUUAAUUUAUUUUAUAGUAAUUUACAUUAAAAAUUUAAGAAAUUAAGAUUUAGUAAUAUAAAAAUUAAUAGCAAAUUUUGUGCCAGCAGUUGCGGUUAUACAAAAAUUAAAUUAAAUUUUAUUAGGUUAUUAAUAAAUAUAUUUAAAUAUUUAAUUUAAAUAUUAAAUUAUUAAGUGAAAUUUUAAUUUAAUUAAAAAUUAUUAAAAGUUAAUAUGAUUUAAUAAAUUUUAUUAUAAACUAGGAUUAGAUACCCUAUUAUUAAAAAUUUAAAUUUAAAUACUAAAAUAGUAUAUAAUUAUUUAUUGAAACUUAAAUAAUUUGGCGGUAUUUUAGUUUAUUUAGAGGAAUCUGUUUAUUAAUUGAUAAUCCACGAAUAAAUUUACUUAAUUAAAAAUUUUGUAUAUCGUUGUUAAAAAAAUAUUUUUAAAUAAUUUUAAUAUUUUAAAUUUUUAAAUGAAAUUAAAUCAGAUCAAGAUGCAGAUUAUAAUUAAGAAUAUAAUGGAUUACAAUAAAUUUAUUUAUAUGAAUAUUUAAUUGAAAGUUAAAUAGAAGGUGGAUUUAAAUGUAAUUUUAUUUAAUUUAUUAAAAUGAUUAAAAAUUAAAAUAUGUACAUAUUGCCCGUCGCUUUCAUUAAUAAAUUGAAAUAAGUCGUAACAAAGUAGAAGUACUGGAAAGUGUUUCUAGAAAGAC